GUUUCCACAAGCCAGCUAUGCUCUACUGCUCAUUGCAUUUGACAUGCUUCAUGAUGAGUGAGGGACACAAUCUCUCCAACAGAGCCAUGCUAAGUGUGAACAAAUCAUCAUAAAAAGAAGCAGAUGUAUGCCUGGAUUCCUGGGGGCUGAGGAAGUAAUGAAUGGGCAGCCAGGAUAGAAAUGCUCUUAUUUCACUUAAGUGACGUCUUUUUAUGAUGUUUUAUCAAGGAUAAUGGAUCAAGGCAUGCAUCAAGGCAGGUGCUGAGAUCCACUUGUCU